rnacentral:rRNA from 1 species
AGUUUGAUUAUGGCUCAGAACGAACGCUGGCGGCAUGGAUUAGGCAUGCAAGUCGAACGAAGUAGCAAUACUUAGUGGCGCAAGGGUGAGGAACGCGUGAGUGACCUACCCGCAAGUUUGGAACAGCUCCUGGAAACGGGAAUUAAUACCGGAUGUGAUCAAUGAGCUGCAUGGUUUAUUGAUUAAAGCAGUAAUGCGCUUGCGGAUGGGCUCGCGUCCCAUUAGCUAGUUGGUGAGGUAACGGCCCACCAAGGCCAUGAUGGGUAGCUGGUCUGAGAGGACGACCAGCCACACUGGGACUGAGAACUGCCCAGACUCCUACGGGAGGCUGCAGUCGAGAAUUUUGGGCAAUGGACGAAAGUCUGACCCAGCAAUGCCGCGUGCGGGAUGAAGGUCUUCGGAUUGUAAACCGCUGUUUGGAGGGACGAAAAUUGACGGUACUUCCAGAGAAAGCCACGGCUAACUACGUGCCAGCCGCUGC